CCUACGGGUGGCAGCAGUCGAGAAUCAUUCACAAUGGGGGAAACCCUGAUGGUGCGACGCCGCGUGGGGGAAUGAAGGUCUUCGGAUUGUAAACCCCUGUCAUGUGGGAGCAAAUUAAAAAGAUAGUACCACAAGAGGAAGAGACGGCUAACUCUGUGCCAGCAGCCGCGGUAAUACAGAGGUCUCACGCGUUGUUCGGAAUCACUGGGCGUAAAGCGUGCGUAGGCUGUUUCGUAAGUCGUGUGUGAAAGGCGCGGGCUCAACCCGCGGACGGCACAUGAUACUGCGAGACUAGUGUAAAGGAGGGGGAACCGGAAGUCGCGGUGUAGCAGUGAAAUGCGUAGAGA
rnacentral:rRNA from 1 species